rnacentral:pre_miRNA from 13 species
UUCCCUGUGGCCUUACUGGUGAGACCCUAUCAAUGUUGCCUCUGCUUUCACAUGUGUUCACUCAGUAGUGCAAUAUUGCUUAUAGGGUCUUGCCUCUGAGGGCAGACCUUCCUCAGA